AUCCAGAUGACGGGUUCCAAAUAGAACGAAAUAUACAUCCUGGAU
rfam:Trichobilharzia regenti genome assembly, scaffold: TRE_scaffold0037656